rnacentral:misc_RNA from 1 species
UUUUGUCAUUUAUAAAUUGUCGAAGCAAAGCUCUAAAAAUAUCAUUAAAAUUCCUUCAAGUAUCCUUUGCCUUGAAGAAAAAUUUUCAAAAUAUAUUUAAUGUACGUAACUCGGCCAGUACUAGAAAAAUAGGAAGGAACUUAUAAUUUAUAUUUUGUGAACACUGUAAAGAAUAUGUUAAUAAAUAUAUUUUAAUUUGGUAAUAUGCACUCGUUUGCUCGUAUACAUGGAGUACUACUGGGAAUUUGUUUCGAUAACGAAAUCGUUCUUUUUUUGUCCUUUAUGUAAGAUCUGAACCGCAAAUAUUUAUUAUUCCUACUUCCUGUUGCUAAUUAGCUACGUUAACACUACAUUCUACUUCAUAACAAAAUGUAAUACACACACACACACACACACACACACGCACACACAUACACACACAUAUAUACCUCCCUUCAAAGAAAUAUACAUAUCGACGCCAUCUCAACGCGCCCGCCAGUACUGCACUGAUUACAGUUUUCCUCAUUGCAAAGGAGGCGAUGCUGGCGUGGCUGCGGCGGCGCCUGGAGCUGGACGCCGCGGACAACGAGCUGCGGCCCGAGCGCCUGACGCCGGCCCGCCGACCGGACGUCCCCUCGGCUGUCUAGCUUCUUCAUAUUCGAAUUAUUUAAUGUUUAACAUUUGUCACAUGAGUAAUAAAAUUAAUUGUAAUGACUGAUAAUUACUGAAAUAUCGACAGAUGUUAGUCAGGGAUAACGUUCAUUUUUAGGCACAAUUAGAUUCUGGUCAGUCUAGCCUCGAGGGGAACUAUAGUACGACUUAGGAACCUUUAAAUAAAUAUCAAUGAUAAGGAUCCCUCAAUGAUAUUGUUCAUUUAUACAGUAUUAAAAAACGUUCUAAUUUUUCUAUUUGCUCGUAUGUCGUAUCUCGAUGUUUGUAUUUUCCUAAAACGUUUUCGUAAUUGUUAUGAUUCACAAUAUGAACAAUAUUGCUAACAUAUUUUCCUAGUUUCUUACAUUACAAUGUACAAAGAAUGAAGGAUUGUCACAUAACUGUAACGUCAAAUAUAAAUUAUUAUGCGUAAAUAAAUUGAAGUAUAGAGUACAAGCUACAUUUGCCGCCGGAGUAGGUACAGGAAAACUGCGCGAAGACUACUGAUGACCUCGAGCAGCGGCCGCCGAGCCGUUUGAACGGCGUGUUGUAUGCUAUUACUAUGUACAUCUCACUUCGUUCCAACCGCCUUUAGAACACGUACAUAUACAUGUAUGAAACUAUAACGACUUAAACGAGGGGUUAAACGCGUUUUAAUACUUUGCUAAACUUAUUAUAUUUGCCAGCCCCACUUACUAUUCAACGCUAUGAACCUCGGAUGUAGCUUGUGUUACCUGAGUAUCGCCUAUUUCAUGCGACUUCACGCACAAACGAAGUGGAGAUGUAUGAAAUUGUUGUGAAUAUUUUCUCUAAUUAAACUAAGAUGUCUUUAAUUGAAUAUCAUUUUUGUAAAUAAUGAUAGCCGUACAUUUGUAUAAUGAUAGUAUUAAACUAAUUGAUAAAGUUGUAAGUAUACUAAGUAGCUGAUAACUGUACAUAUGUUUUCUCGUCUCUAUCGUUUUACGUCGACACGUUUAUUAGGUGUAAGUAAAUGUUGCUUCGUCUUUGUUACCUUAGAUGAUAGAAGAUAUGCUUAAAGCCAAUAACAUCGUAAAGAGAAUCCCGUUAGAUCUGUUACGUAUAGCAAACAUAAAACCACCAGAAGACGCAGCAGUCACGCGUACACACAAACAAAACCACAGCGGCGAUGUGGAUGUGGUCACGUAAACAAAUAUUUGUCUUAAACAAUAUAAGUACAUAAUAAUAAUAAACAAUUUAAAUGUAUUAUUAAAAUGGUUUAUCACAAAAUGCCGUAAUUCUUAAAUUUAUUUAAAUAAUUGCUAAGAUCCACGCGCCUUCUGUGCGUGGAGGAAAAACUAUUUUCCUAAUUAUUAUCAUAAGCUAUAUAAAGCACUGAUGUGUAAAAACCAAUGAAAAAAUUGAUGAAGUAAGUAUUGCGUUAAUUAAUAUAAAUUAAUUACAAACAAACCUACAAGCGACUGCGCAGUCUUCAGCUCGUUCUGCGCGCUUGUUAUAUGUUUUAGCUGCACCAUAACCAUGGCGUGUCAUGUUUAUAUUUAGACAAAUGUGUUUGUAGAUUAUUAUUUUAGUCUAGUCAAUAAGUUUGAAGACAUUUUAAAUAGAAAUAAAGGUCGUAAGAGUAUGAGCCACAGCUCAUUCAACCCGGAAUGACGUUUAGAAAAAUGGCUCGGAAGUAUUCUCACACGCUAAAAAUUGCAACUUAUUAAAAAAAAGAAAGUUGCAACAAAAAAGAACGGCGUAUUUGUAAAUAACUUCGAAACUAUUAGUUUAAAAAAAGGUCCUUAUAGAGGAAGAAAUUUCCAUUAAAAAAGUAAAACAAAAAUUUUGUUAAUUAAAAAAACAAAUUCGAAACAAACAAAAUACACAAUUUUAAAAGCUUUAGCAAUGUGAUCUUAUUAAGCUAUUAGCAAUGUGAUAUAAAUAUAUAUAUACAGAGCAAUUAUUUAGGAGGUAUAUCUCUAUUGAAUAGGUCUUUGAACUUGUUGACUAGACUAAUUAGAAUUAUUAUGAACGAUCAUCAUAAUUAUAUAAGUAUAACAUGAGAACACAUACAAUUUUAUAUUUGUAAAUAUUAAAUUUUAUUAAAUAUUGUAAUAAAUUCUACGAAAUUAUAUUAUAUUUCAAAAUAAAUAUAAGAUUUACAUUUUUAAA